UGGGGAAUUUUCCGCAAUGGGCGCAAGCCUGACGGAGCAACGCCGCGUGAGGGAGGAAGGCCUGUGGGUUGUAAACUUCUUUUCUCUGUGAAGAAGAUCUGACGGUAGCAGAGGAAUCAGCAUCGGCUAACUCCGUGCCAGCAGCCGCGGUAAGACGGAGGAUGCAAGCGUUAUCCGGAAUUAUUGGGCGUAAAGCGUCCGUAGGCGGUUUGUCAAGUCUGCUGUUAAAGACUACAGCUCAACUGUGGGAUGGCGGUGGAAACUGAUGAACUAGAGUGCGGUAGGGGUAGAGGGAAUUCCCAGUGUAGCGGUGAAAUGCGUAGAUAUUGGGAAGAACACCAGUGGCGAAGGCGCUCUACUGGGCCGCAACUGACGCUGAUGGACGAAAGCUAGGGGAGCGAAUGGGAUUAGAUACCCCCGUAGUCC
rnacentral:rRNA from 1 species